rnacentral:rRNA from 1 species
CUGGCGGCGUGCUUAACACAUGCAAGUCGAACGAUGAAGCCCAGCUUGGCUGGGUGGAUUAGUGGCGAACGGGUGAGUAACACGUGGGUGAUCUGCCCUGCACUCUGGGAUAAGCCUGGGAAACUGGGUCUAAUACCGGAUAUGACCUCUUGCUGCAUGGCGAGGGUGGAAAGUUUUUCGGUGCAGGAUGAGCCCGCGGCCUAUCAGCUUGUUGGUGGGGUAAUGGCCUACCAAGGCGACGACGGGUAGCCGGCCUGAGAGGGCGACCGGCCACACUGGGACUGAGACACGGCCCAGACUCCUACGGGAGGCAGCAGUGGGGAAUAUUGCACAAUGGGCGAAAGCCUGAUGCAGCGACGCCGCGUGAGGGAUGACGGCCUUCGGGUUGUAAACCUCUUUCAGCAGGGACGAAGCGAAAGUGACGGUACCUGCAGAAGAAGCACCGGCCAACUACGUG